CAAACAGACGACUUGAAAAAUCGUUAAGAUAAAUCCACAUCGGGGGCUGUAAGUCUCGUUUCUCGUCACUUCCAGUGAAGCGUUUCUGGUGACAAACAAAUCCGAUUCCAGUAUUACGAGUAUAUAGAAUUGGGCCAACUACACGUCCGAAAACACCAACGCUUAUGCGUAAAUCAGAGAACGCUAUGUACCACAACCAUUUGUUAUGUCCUUGUUUAACAAGUUGACGUACAUUGUCAAUGCUGUGGUUCAAGUGUCGAUGGAGAACAAGUUGCAUAAAGUAACCAGAAUACAGGAAGAGAAUUUACUCCCUCAAGUCAAGCCAUCCUUACGAUCACCUAAUACAGGGCCAGAUUUUGUGCAAUAUGAAUUAUUGCGUCUUGAUUGUUUGGACUACAGCCAACUGCAUGCAAAGUUAUCCGAAUCAUCAAGGACUCUUAGUGGACAAAGAACAUUGCAAAGUGAUAGAAUUUUCUUGCUGCAACUUGAUUAUUUGAACAACAGCUGACUGCAGAAUUAUCUGGGACCAUAAAGGACUCUGAAUGGACACAUACCAUUAACAGAAUUAUACUUCUAAUAUUUCCAUUCCUGAAUGAAUUCAAAAUCAACAUGUAUUGAUAAAAUAUACUUAGUAAAACAAUAACAAUCAG